ACCAGUAGGAUUUUGAAAUAUAAUUUUUCAAAAUGUUGCUUUCCUUUUAAAUGGAAGUUCUAAUCAUUUAUGAUUAAUUUUCAUCUCCAGUUCUCCCAUAGGAAAUAAAGCAUGUGCAAGGAUAUUUAAAGUUUCAGAGGACUGUUCUUAAAAUGUCCGUGCUGAUAACUGGUUUGGCUGUUUUUGUUUUAGAAACUUUUUUUUUAAUGCAGGAGAAUGUUGUGAAGGAGAAGAAUCAUGCAAAAUAGAUUUACUGUUUUGUCUGACAUCCUGCAGGCUUAAAGGAAUGGUGACCAUUCUGAAUGCUUCUGUAAUUCAGACUAUCUUCAUUCAUUAAAAAAAAUAAAAUUAAUUAAAUAAAAGUAGACAGUAUAGAUACAUAGGAAUUGGGACUAGUUCUCUGAAAAGGAAGAUCUACUCUCAUACUUGGUCAUCGUGUGGAUCCCCGUAACACAUGACAGGGAAACCGUGAGCAUGACCUCUGUUGGUAUUCCAUAAAAGUUUUGGCCUUCUAUUUGCCUAUAAAAAGAUACAUCUAUGCAUAAUUUUCCCUUUUGUAGCUAACUACUAUGAUAAUUGAUAUGGAGUAAAACUGACAUGAAUUUAAAACUAGAUGGGAUGGCUUGUAUGGCUGGCAGAAAAAAGCAUUUUAAUAUGGAUUCUGGCCCACAUCUGUAGUCCAGGACACCAUACAAGAGUUUUAAGAUCAAGCUCUUCCACUGGCCAUGAAGGAACUGGAUGACCACCGGCAAGCCACAAAAGGGCCGUGUCUCAGUUUCCCCAGCUCCAAAGUAGGAACGAACAAGGUUUAGUCUACCUCACAGGACUGUUGUGAGGAAACAAUAGCGUAACCAAGUGCUCUGCACAGUACAAAGCCAUUCAAAUAACAGCUAGGACGUAUAUGGGCCAUAAAAACAUUCCCGAAGGAAGGAAAGUUACUUCUUUACAAAUCAAUAGCCAAUUCUCACUUCUGCUGUUAAGUGAAAUAUUAGGGAAAAAUGCUUUCUUGGCCAAGUUAGUAACAAAAAUAUAACUGUGUAUGCCCCCCUUUAUUUAAGCAUGCUUGCAUUUUAAACGAACACGGCCAUAAAAGUCUGUAUACACAAAUUUCUCCGGAAGCUAAAAUGUUAAUCUGUAACAUAUGCUUGAAACAAUCUGCCCAAUAUAAUAACCAACUUCCAUCUUAUGAAAAAUAACUUACCAUCCAUAACCUGGGAGGUGGAGUGUCUGUAAGUGGCUGGUGCUUAGGGAUCGUACCACAGAAGUUUUGGUGACAUCCAAGCAUGCUGCUGAAAUGGGUGCAUUCGAAAGGGCUGUAGAAGUAACGCAAAACUUCGGUUUCAUAAAAAUCUGCUCGUGCUUUAAAAUAUUUAACUCUGUAGAACCACAGUUAGGGAAAGCUCAGUAAUGCUGCUCAUGAUAUUUAUAAAAUAAUACCUUUAACAUAGUGCAAUAUUUUAUUAUAUAUAUAGUGGGAGGAGCAGUAGGGGCAUCACAGUUGCACUUUAGUGCAACGGGAACACCCCAAAUUGCCCAGGGGAGAGUGAGAUGUAAGGUCUCAAUGAAAACAGUUGUAUUAUAUUGAAUUCCUGAUGUAAUGUCGCUGCCAUGCUAUGUUAUCAAUAGCUAACAAGUAAUAAAGAAAGCAAAACCACCACAGAAAAAAGAAUAUCUUCAUUUGAUGGCAUCUGAAAAGGUGACUGCUGCCUCUCUCUGGAAUUACAGCCUGGUAUAAUCUGGCCACACAAACAAGCUCCACAGUCCAUUUGUGUUAAACAAAAUGGCUAUUUUGAAAAUUGCCUAAAAGCAUUAACUUCUGGUUUUACUUUUGUUUUAUUUAUGGAUUUGCCUUGCUCCCUGUUAGUAAUUAGACCAGUGAAAGUGUACUUUCUACAUUGGUAUUUAAUGAUUGGGUUAGGCAUUUAGCCCCUCAAGUUGAGCAACAUUUUAGCCCUGUUUUGGAAUCAGAAUUAAUAUGCUACAUUUCUUAAUGGCAAGAUCUACAUUCUUUAAUAUCAGAACUAGUUGGAUACUAUGUGGCCACUUGUGACUUUUGAGAAAAGAAAACAGCUUAAUAUUUGAGGGUACUGUCAGGUUCAAAAUUUAAGUAACUCUGAAUUUUUUGAAAGACAAUUUGAAAAUACUUGGCUCUUAUUAAUAGUAAGAUAAUAAAAUCUUAAGUUCCCUAAAAGUAAAUAAAUUUAAAAUCACUCUAAAAAUGUUUUGUCUUUAUUUCUAAAUUGAGAUAAUAGCUUUCUUUUUAAAAAUGGGGUGGUCCCUCAAUCCUUUUUAAGCCAUGGAUCCCCUAAACAGCUGAUUAAAACUAGACUCUCGCCCCUAAAAGAUACACACAUGCACACCAUAAGUUUUAUAGGACCUGGGGCCACAGGCCCACUGUAUCACAUGGCCACAUAGUUUAGUUAUUCUUAUCAAAUGUAUUGGCUCUCAGCAAUCAGGAAAAUAAUACAACUUUCGAGGUGCAAGGAUAACUUCAUUUUUCCACACUUGACGACAUGUGACUAGUUAACAUAUUUCAAUUUAAAACACUUUUCAAAGCCAAAAUGUAUGGUUCACUAACCUGGAGAGGAAGUUACCUGAUGCCUGCAAGCAGAGAACAGUUUUUAAUUAAAUAUCAACAGUCAAGAACAGUACCUUAUGGACUUGAUUCCAAGGAUAACGUAUGGUUUAUGAAGGAAUACAAAUAGGCACAGUGGUGUUCAGAAGAUUUAUUAAGUAAACCAGCUAAAACAUGACGUAGGCAGGCACACUUGACAGUCAAAAGGAAGAAUUGACUCUUCAUCGCUACCUCAUUACGGUUUUUGUAUCUGUUCGCCAGGUACACACAUAAAACCACCUCUGCUCAAAAAAGAAACUCAGAGCUUAUGUUCUUUGUUCUGACAGACAUAAGUAUUUUUUUUUAAGUCUCUUUUCCGUCUUGGCUAACCCCAGAAUAUUAGUCACAUAAAAGACCCUGCAGUUCCCCAUUUUUCCUGUUAGAUAAAACUGGUAUCUUUAGCUCCUAAAACAGUUCUUAAAAAACUCCACAUAUCUUUUAUGUUAUCCCUAAGGAUCAAUAGCAGGCAUGCCUUUCCCAGUCAUUUUUGAAGAGACCAAUCUUCAAGGCAAAAAUAAAGUAGGAAUAACAUAUAUGGUGCCGGGGCGGGGAGAACCACGGACCCGCUAGAGGACCCAUUUGCAGCACGUUCUUUUUGAAGGUUCUCCCCAAUGGGAGUGGAGAACCGCCUCAGAGCCAUGGGCAUGCGCCUCUGGAGCACCUUCCAGAAGCCACCGGCAUCGGCGAGCGGGAAGCUUGUGCGCUUCCAAUUCACGGCACCUGGCAGCCAGGCUGCAGCUCCUUCCCAGGCCCCCAGCACAGCUUCAGAAAGCAAACGGAAAGGAAGCAUCAGCUGACUUUCCUAGAGAAUUACAAGGCUGAAGAGUCCUCUUAUAGUACUUAGUUCCUCGUCGUCCAAGUUAAACAAUUUUUAACCUAACAGAAAAAUCGACAUCAGGUGAUUUUCAUUUACAAUUAUAGAACUACAGAACUAACAAGUAGUAUUUGAGGCAUUCCACACUAUCACCACUGCAAUCCUAUCUCAUAUAAAACCUGGUGUAAACCGACAGUGUUCACUAACAGUAUUUGCUGCUACACUGGAAAGGCACGAUAAUGUCAUGCUUAAAGAAACGACAUCUCACAGCACUAGAUGACACAGUAACACAGAGACAUUUUCAGAUGUUUGGUUUUUUUCCUGCCCGUGAAAGGGGGGGUGUCUGGACCACCCUAUUACUUUUACCUGGUUUCGUAACACGAUUCAAGACAUAAUUUCAUUCAUCUUCAUUUAAAAUUGUUCACAUUGAUGUGAACCACUUUCAGAAGUCUAGAAAAGAACAGUUUCAGAUAACUCAAAAUUAAACACUUGGAUGACCUCCAAACAGGUCAAAGAUGAUGUAUAGUCUGAUUUUUUUGUUCAUGUCAUAGCAGCUAUUAGCCUUUCUCCUUUAUUUGCUAACCUUGAACUAGAUGUUGAUAUGUCUUGCCAUGCUUACACAACCUUGACUGUUGUAUAAUCUACCCUCAAUGUUCCUUCUUCAAGAUAAUCAUUUAUCUUAAAGGGAAGCGUCUAGUUGUUCAGAGCUGUUCGUUUAGAUGCUUUUCUCUGCUUUCAGAACAUUCGCUAUUUUCCCCCUCAUUGGCUUCAAUGUUUGCUGCCAACCACAUGACAUGUCAACAUCUAAUUUACAACCAGCUGUUUCCAGGAAACGGUCCACUCAUCUUCAAUUGACCGGCACUUGAGUCAUUAUUCCUGAAAAUGUACAGACCAAGCCCAGUCUGACCACACAGCUGGUGUGUAUCACCCAGGACCCCGCGAAGCAUCUUCAAUGAAAUGCCUCAACUUCACAAGCAUCGCGUGUGGUGGGCUGAUGGCCCUGCGUGGUGGUCCAGGCUGAGACCUUGACAGCGAUGCACAGCUGGAACGGGGCAGGGCAUGUCUUCCGGAGGUUUCUUCCACAUGAACUAGUCUCCUAACCCCUUCCGGUGCCGUUUGAAAACCCCAAUGGACACACUGACGUGGAUUAAAACA